UCUGACCAGCGACGCCGCGUGCGGGAUGAAGGCCUUCGGGUUGUAAACCGCUUUCAGCAGGGAAUAAGCGCAAGUGAAGGUACCUGCAGAAGAAGCACCGGCUAACUAUGUGCCAGCAGCCGCGGUAAUACAUAGGGUGCAAGCGUUGUCCGGAAUUAUUGGGCGUAAAGAGCUCGUAGGUGGUUUGUUACGUCGGUUGUGAAAUUCAGGGGCUCAACCCCUGACUUGCAGCCGAUACGGGCAAGCUAGAGUUUGGUAGGGGAGACUGGAAUUCCUGGUGUAGCGGUGGAAUGCGCAGAUAUCAGGAGGAACACCGAUGGCGAAGGCAGGUCUCUGGGCCAAUACUGACACUGAGGAGCGAAAGCGUGGGGAGCGAACAGGAUUAGAUACCCUGGUAGUCCACGCCGUAAACGAUGGGCGCUAGUUGUGCGAACCUUCCACGGUUUCUGCGACGCAGCUAACGCAUUAAGUGCCCCGCCUGGGGAGUACGAUCGCAAGAUUA
rnacentral:rRNA from 1 species